rnacentral:rRNA from 1 species
GCGGAGGAAAAGAAACCAACAGGGAUUGCCUCAGUAACGGCGAGUGAAGCGGCAAAAGCUCAAAUUUGAAAUCUGGUACCUUUGGUGCCCGAGUUGUAAUUUGAAGAUAGUUUUCUGGUGCUGGCCCUUGUCUAUGUUCCUUGGAACAGGACGUCACAGAGGGUGAGAAUCCCGUCUGGCGGGGUGUCCAGUGCUUUGUAGAUUUCUAUCGACGAGUCGAGUUGUUUGGGAAUGCAGCUCUAAGUGGGUGGUAAAUUCCAUCUAAAGCUAAAUAUUGGCGAGAGACCGAUAGCGAACAAGUACAGUGAUGGAAAGAUGAAAAGAACUUUGAAAAGAGAGUGAAAAAGUACGUGAAAUUGUUGAAAGGGAAGGGUAUUAGAUCAGACUUGGUGUUUUGUGAUUAUCUUCCCUUCUUGGGUUGUGCACUCGCAUUUCACUGGGCCAGCAUCGGUUCGGGUGGUAAGAUAAUGACAUUGGAACGUGGCACUACCUUCGGGUGGUGUGUUAUAGCCCUUGUUGAUGUUGCCUACCUGGACCGAGGACUGCGGCUUUUGCCUAGGAUGCUGGCGUAAUGAUCUAACACCGC